rnacentral:rRNA from 1 species
UACGUAGGGGGCGAGCGUUGCCCGAAUUUACUGGGCGUAAAGCGCACGUAGGCGGCUCCGUAAGUCUGGUGUGAAAUCUCACGGCUCAACCGGGAGGCUGCACCAGAUACUGCGGGGCUCGAGGACGGGAGAGGAGAUUGGAAUUCCCGGUGUAGCGGUGAAAUGCAUUGAUAUCGGGAGGAACACCAGUGGCGAAGGCGGAUCUCUGGCCCGUUGCUGACGCUGAGGCGCGAAAGCUAGGGGAGCAAACGGG